rnacentral:rRNA from 1 species
GUAGUUAGCCGGGGCUUCCUCCUUGGCUACCGUCACUUUCUUCGUCACCAAGGACAGAGGUUUACAACCCGAAAGCCUUCAUCCCUCACGCGGCGUUGCUGGGUCAGGCUUGCGCCCAUUGCCCAAUAUUCCCCACUGCUGCCUCCCGUAGGAGUCUGGACCGUGUCUCAGUUCCAGUGUGGCCGAUCAGCCUCUCAGCUCGGCUACCCAUCGUCGACUUGGUGGGCCGUUACCCCGCCAACUAUCUAAUGGGACGCGAACCCCUCCUUCUGCGGAUUGCUCCUUUGACCUCUCUGCCAUGCGACAGUGUGGUCUUAUGCGGUAUUAGCACUUGUUUCCAGGUGUUAUCCCCCUCAAAAGGUCAGGUUGUUCACGCGUUACUCACCCGUUCGCCACUAGAUGUAAAACCGAAAUCUUACAUCCCGUUCGACUUGCAUGUGUUAGGCACGCCGCCAGCGUUCGUCCUGAGCCAGGAUCAAACUCUGA